UCCUAGCCCUGAUCGCAGCGGCUACCCCACAGCAAGCGGUGGACAAUGUAUUGGCGCGAGGAGUAAUAGCGAAGAGCAGGUUCCCGG
rnacentral:misc_RNA from 1 species